CUGAGCGUGAGGUCGAUGCUGAGCGUGAGGUCGAUGCUGAGAGUGAGGUUGAUGAAGGAAAUCUCACAUAUCCACAGACUGGUUGUGCAGAACUGUUGAUGGUCGGGCAACCUGUCGAGGAACCUGCGCCAUUAUCACAAGUGCAACAAGGAACAUAUAGGCCUGGCUGCUGCUUUUCAGUACGCACGACAGCAACGACAGUGCCUUCAAAAUAAAAGCACUUCUAAUCAUAUCAUUCAUAAUGACAAAUCAACUUGGAAGCAAAUAAUGUUCCAGCCUAAGCGCUUUACAGUGAAUGUAUUUGUUAUUUAUUAUUCAUCCAUCAGUUGCUUGAGCAUCUUGGACUUCACCGUAUUUAAGGACCCUACCCUACAACAAAUAAAUGCUCAUCCAUUGUUAUUUGUCUUUAUUUCUUCAUUUCAG